rnacentral:rRNA from 1 species
AUGUAAUAGGUUAAGAGCUAUUUAAAGGGGGUACAGCCCCUUUAAAAAAGGAUACAACCUCAACCAGCGGAUAACCUACACCCCACUCCUCACUUCGUGGGCUUUAAAGCAGCCACCCCCAAAGAGUGCGUCAAAGCUCCACAAUCAAAAACUCCAAAAACACCCGACUCCCUGCACCCACAACAGGCCAACCUAUCACAAUAGAUGAAUUAAUGCUAGAACGAGUAACCAGGAUAACACAUCCCCUCAAGCGCCAACCUACAUACCAUUAACAGCACAACUACAAUGCCAAAUAGUAAACCACCCAGACCAAACAUUGAACAUACCCUGUCAACCCAACCCAGGAGCGCACAUUAGGAUGAUUAAAAUCUGCAAAAGGAACUCGGCAAACCCAAGGCCCGACUGUUUACCAAAAACAUAGCCUUCAGCCAGACAAGUAUUGAAGGUGAUGCCUGCC